rnacentral:lncRNA from 1 species
AGACAAAAGCGAACGAGAGGCGGAAAAAAGGAAGACGCUUCCUGAAGUUGGGGAUGCUGGACUAGUUUUCAUACUAGAUCCCCUCGUGGCAGCAUUAAGGAACUUCACAUUCUUCUCACACUAUUCAUGGAAAGUUCCUGGAACUCCCACAGCAGCAAGAAAACUUCGCUUGUAGGAGUCCUUAGCACAUCUGUAAAGUUUUAUUGGCCAAAAUGUGAUACAUCUCCAUUUCUGGAUCAGUCACUGUGGUCAAGUGCAAGACGCUCUACAGGACUCAACCUGGGGAUGAGGUCUGUCUACUCCAUCCAUAUGGUCACUUUAUACUGAGGUUGGGGUUGCUGCUUUUUAAGAGAUGAAAAGAUCCAAGGUGUGACACAGAAUGGAUGACUGGAGUGGAAAAAAUGAAAAUGUCAUUGGAAUAUGGAAGUAAAGAAACUGAGAAGCUGAGAGUUUUUGCAUCAUCCAGUCAGGUAUGGAAAUCACCAAGGAUAAAGGAAGGAACUGGGUUAGAAUGGAAGACCUUUUGCCAGGAAUGGAAGACUUCAGUAAAUGAAGAGAUUUGACUAGGAUGUUGGCAGAAGAUAGUGAGAAGGUCUAAGAAAGGGUGGUAUAUCCAGAUGACAUAAACAUCAAAAGAACGGUGAUUUUUGCAGGAGGGAAGGGGUGAAAUAAUUUGAAAGUAGCAAUGGGAGAGAGCAAGGAAUGCACCUACCUCCAAUCCUGGCCCUGACAUUCUCUCAGGGACCAGAUAGGUUUCAACUAAGGUAAGGCAAGGAGAUGAUGGGAAAAUGAGGGAAAGGGGACUGGACUGCUGAACACAGAUGAGAGUCACAUGAAACACUAGAAGGGUUUAUUUAGGGAGGGGGAGAAGUGGAGAGAAUAACAGUUUGUGGAUUAUGAUUUUAUGAGAAAAAGAAGGACUUAGAGAGGCUGGAACUUCUGCAGAUUAGUGAGCUACACAGGGAUGUGAAGCAUGAUUGGCUUGAACCUGGUAGUCUCAUCUUGUCAUCCUCUUAGUGGUGUGUGCAGCCUAAGGCAUUAAAUUAUGGUGCAGCCUCUGGGCUAAUAGUUACUCUCUCAACAGUGGAGAGUUCUACAUAAUUUGCCAUAAUUAGAUACAUUACCUUAGAGAAAGUGCUAAACCCUUCAAAAUCCCAGUUGCUUAAUCUAUGCAAUGAGGAACUGAUCUAAAUUUCCUAAACUUCUUUAGACAUGUUAAGGAUCUGACAUUGAAAAAGUGAGGUUAUGCCACUGGUAAGUUUGCAGUAUUAAAAAUAAAUAUUCAUCUUUCAAAUCAAUGUAUCAGGAGCUAAUAUUAGGAAGAAAGAGAACUAUCUGAGUGUUUAUGCAUCUGCUGCAUUUGACUUCAAACUGUGUUAAUGAUCUCAACAAAAUAGGUAAGUGAAAGAACAAUUCAGCAUAUUUUAGAGACAUUUGGUUAUGCCUUCCUGCUAAAGCAAAUACAUUUUGUAACUCAUAAAUAUGAAUUAAUUUAUGACCUCUCAAACGCUAAAUAGUAAAGUUGAAAUUGAAUUGCCAACCUUAUCUCGCACCUUCCUUCUAUUCUGUUGGACCCCUAUCCAACUGAUGUAUCAGUUCAGUCAAUGCUGUAACCACACUAAUAGCCUGCUGCACAAAACUGCCUAUUUCAAUCCAAAUAGUGGAACAACUUUGGGCUGAAUCCAACAAUGAAUCCUGCUCUCUGGGGAGCUUUUCUUUAGGUCUUCUUAUUUCUCUGAGUUCUGUGUCUUGGCAGGUGUUUUGUUGAAUGGUUUAGAUUCUUCAGGGAGAGAGGUAACUGAGGGAAAAAGCAGGAAAGGCUGAGCUUGAUUAGGAAAGGAUAUUGUAUAAAAUCAAAGGGGGAUAAUUUAGACAUUACAUCGGUAUAUAUUCACUCAUUUGCAA